rnacentral:rRNA from 1 species
GACGAACGCUGGCGGCGUGCUUAACACAUGCAAGUCGAGCGGUAAGGCCCUUUCGGGGGUACACGAGCGGCGAACGGGUGAGUAACACGUGGGUGACCUGCCCUCAGCUCUGGGAUAAGCCCGGGAAACUGGGUCUAAUACUGGAUAUGACUCCACGGUGCAUGUCGUGGGGUGGAAAGCCUUGUGCGGCUGAGGAUGGGCCCGCGGCCUAUCAGCUUGUUGGUGGGGNGAUGGCCUACCAAGGCGACGACGGGUAGCCGGCCUGAGAGGGCGACCGGCCACACUGGGACUGAGACACGGCCCAGACUCCUACGGGAGGCAGCAGUGGGGAAUCUUGCGCAAUGGGCGAAAGCCUGACGCAGCGACGCCGCGUGAGGGAU